rnacentral:lncRNA from 1 species
GAAGAGUGCCGAUCAGCAGGGUGCCCGGCUAGAGAACGCCGACCAGAGAAAGCGCUUGCCUAAAGAGCGCCGACCAGGAAACCAACCAAAGAGCGCAAGUAAAGACGCUCGCCCAAAGAGCGCCGAGCAGAAGUACUAUGAAGCAACCUCGCCACAGGGCGCCCCAUUGGGCGACCAGCUCGGCUCAACACCCCUGCCGAGCCGAUUGCCUUGGACCAAAUGUUCAACUUCCGCCUAACCCUCUAAGCCUGAAGGACCUGACAACUCCACUACAACCUGCCGCUAUCUCCAAGCCAUCAAGGCAUAAGAUCUCCGCAGGUAUUCGGCACGACCUGCCAUUAAUGCAUGAGACCCCCU